AUGCUCAUCCCUCCUCCCUCACAUCCCCCCCCACCACUUCCUUGGUGCCCUUCCAAGGUAGGGCCCUUGGUGCUGGCUGCUCAGUCCUCCCCCAGGGGUGGCUUUCCAAGGCCAAGAGGGCCAGAGAGGGCUGCUGCCAGAGAUGCUUCUGUUCUGGCUCCUUCUCACUCCCCUUCCUGUCUGUUGGGGCUUUUGGUGGCAGCACCUAGUCCUGAUGGGGUUAGAGUACCACCCUGGAGCGGAUGGUGUGUGCACCAGCAAGCAUCCAGUCAAUUCAUGAGUUAUCCUCUGCGUGAGCUGGGCUGUGAUGUGCCGUUAUCUUCCUGCUCCCAUUGUACACUUCACACACCAGCUUUCUCUCCAGACAGUUGUUUGAUCACUACUUCGAAUAUCAUGACCAUAGGCUCAUUUAUUUUUUUCUGUUUUAAAGGAUGUUGCUGGUGUGCACAGGGAGCAGCCACGUCAAUUCACACAUUUGCCAAGGACAAUGAGAAUACAGUUUCCUCCGAAAAAAUCUUAGGCUGAUCUUGGAAGAAAGACCCCCUGGAUCAUCUAAAAAUAAAGUUUUCUAUUUAAAGAACAUCCCUGUAGCUAAAUGGUGUUCAAAGUAAACAUGGAGAACAGAAAGCAUCCAUCUCUACCUAGUGGGGCAAAAGAUGACUGAAUUCCCAUACCAUAUAAAUACCCCAUGAAAACACAGAGGAAUCCUUGAUCCACCCAGCAUUCACUGAGUAUCUGCCUCGUGGCAAGCACUGCGGAUGUGCUUGGAUACAAAGAUAAAUAAAACGUGGGCUCCACUCCCA
rnacentral:lncRNA from 1 species